rnacentral:tRNA from 1 species
UCCCUGGUGGCUCAGACGGUAAAGCGUCUGCCUGCAAUGCGGGAGACCUGGGUUCGAUCCCUGGUUCAGGAA